AUUGAACGCUGGCGGCAGGCCUAACACAUGCAAGUCGAACGGUAACAGGAAGAAGCUUGCUUCUUUGCUGACGAGUGGCGGACGGGUGAGUAAUGUCUGGGAAACUGCCUGAUGGAGGGGGAUAACUACUGGAAACGGUAGCUAAUACCGCAUAACGUCGCAAGACCAAAGAGGGGGACCUUCGGGCCUCUUGCCAUCGGCUGUGCCCAGAUGGGAUUAGCUAGUAGGUGGGGUAACGGCUCACCUAGGCGACGAUCCCUAGCUGGUCUGAGAGGAUGACCAGCCACACUGGAACUGAGACACGGUCCAGACUCCUACGGGAGGCAGCAGUGGGGAAUAUUGCACAAUGGGCGCAAGCCUGAUGCAGCCAUGCCGCGUGUAUGAAGAAGGCCUUCGGGUUGUAAAGUACUUUCAGCGGGGAGGAAGGGAGUAAAGUUAAUACCUUGGCUCAUUGACGUUACCCGCAGAAGAAGCACCGGCUAACUCCGUG
rnacentral:rRNA from 1 species